rnacentral:rRNA from 1 species
CACAAACUAGAUCAAGUUAAGAUUAAUACAGUAAAAAAGUGGUAAAAGGCCUACUGGUGUCCCAUAGGACACCGGCAUUACAAGAAAAAUUACGUUUUCUAUAGAGGUGGAAUUUGUGUAGAAAAACUAAAUUACUGUUUUCUUGCCCACUUGAAGCCACGAAAUCUCAGUUAAAAACCGGGAUUAGAUACCCCGUUAUUUGAGAUGUAAAUUUUGAUUUUUUUAGAAAAUUUACUUGAGCAUUACGGGCCCUAUAAAUUUACACUUAUAGGAACAGCCUAAAACUCAAAAGACUUGGCGGUGCCUUAAAUCCUUCCAGGGGAACCUGUCCUGUAAUUGAUAGUCCACAAUUUACCUUUCCUUUUUUUGAAUUUAUACCAGUCUGUAUACCGUCGUCGUCAGAUUACCUCUAAGAGAAAAAGUUAUCGACUAAAAAAGCUUUUCUUUUCAUGCUAUUACUAGCUUUGAUAAUGGAAUGUCCUCUAAACGUCAGAUCAAGGUGCAGCCUACGAAAAGGAAGAGAUGGGUUACAAUGAAUAAUUAUUAUACGAAUUUCUUUUUGCAAAAUAAGUCUAAAGGAGGACUUGGAAGUAAUUAUUAGAGAAAUAGAGAGUCUCGGUGAAGAUGGCUCUAAGGCGUGU